rnacentral:rRNA from 1 species
GACGAAGGAUGCAAGCGUUAUCCGGAUUCAUUGGGUUUAACGGGAGCGUAGGCGGCCUGGUAAGUCCGUGGUGAAAUCUCGCAGCUUAACUGCGAAACUGCCAUUGAUACUGCUAGGCUAGAGUACAGAUGCUGUGGGCGGAAUAUGACAUGUAGUGGUGAAAUGCUUAGAUAUGUCACAGAACACCGAUAGCGAAGGCAGCUCACUAGGUCUGGAUUGACGCUCAGGGACGAAAGCGUGGGGAGCAAACAGG